AAAAAGGGGGGGGGGGGGGGUCCAGAGAGUUUCGCCGAGUAGCGAAUGUGUCAUUCAUAUUGUAAAUUUGAUGAAUAGCAGGAACAUUUAUCUCCAAACCAUCAGCUGAGUGUGCCCAUUUGAAUGGAAUAGAGGAUCCCAACAAAGUGAUUACAGUAUCUUCUGAUGGUACAGGGUCAGCUAGCAACAAUUUGGAUGUAGUUGGCCAUUUGAGGACUAUGGCAAAAACAUCAUAUCCAUUUUCUGCUUUUUUUGAUGUGUACCUAAAGAAUUAAUAAAAAGAAGAUUCAAGAUGUAA
rnacentral:sRNA from 1 species